GAAGAGAGGAGCGCAGGGCUGAAAUUGACAUUUGAUACUCAGGAAGUUCAGGAGUCUGCUUGGAUUUCUUUUGUUUCAUUGUAAUUCUGCAGUCCUGCUGCGGGCAACACAGACGGGAGGUUUGUGUCACUUCCACACAAUGUUAAUAGCGGAAAAUCCUUAAAUGAUAAUGAUAGGUUAAGGACUAAAAUGUGAGUUGGGUCCGACUUCUGAGCGGUUCGUGACGCACGACGAUUGACUGAGAGGAAGAGAAUACAGUGAAGACCUCAACCUAAUCCUGCGGAUUAAUACUGAAUUGGGUAUGUUGAAAUUUUUUUCUCCUUUUCUUUUCUUUUCUUUUCUUUUCUUUUCUUUUCUUUCCCAUUUUUUAAAAUCCCUGUACACUGAGGGUAAUUAGGAUUGUAUACAGGGUGUGUGGUGUUAUGAAACAGGACAGUAUUCCUAAUCAGGCCAAAAAAAAGGGGGGGUUGGGGGUUGGGAGGGGUCCCUAAAUAUAAACGUAAAAAAAAUAUAAGUACUUAGAUGUGACUUGAAGUAGAUUUUUGUGUGUUUCAGGUCAUAAGACUGAAUUUAGAUCUUGCUGCAGGACUUAGAGGAGUGAUAAAUCCUCCUGAAAUAACCGUGAAGUUGAGGACUUGUAGACUCCCUAUUCAGACAAAUGCGAUUAACAAGGGGCUUUGGAGCAGCUUUGAGGUUAAAUUAACGAUGACAGAAAGAAAAGGAAGUCCGGACUUUGCAGUGUUAACAUUUCAAAAAUAUACAGCGUGUCUAAUCACGAUGAAAGGGAAUUAUGAGUGCUUCCUAAACAUCCCUUUGGACGUGUUACAUCAUUUCAGGUAAUAUUCUCAUGUAAUCUUGGAUUUUUAAUAAGUUGGCCUAUGUUUGAAUUCAUGAAAUGUAACUAUAGCGCCAUGUUUAGGUUUAAAUUAAGCUGUCAAAGACGACAUCAGGAAAUUGUCUGUGAGAAAAGCUACAUAAUUAUUGCAAAUGUACAAACCUCACAUAUGUUUUUUUCCCUUUGACAGUUGGUCUUCAUUACACAUCAAAACAAGAUGGCUUUUUAAAUUGUUUUUUAUUUCCCAGAUAAACCUACAUUUAUCGCUAACAAGAGCAGGUUUCCAUGUCUUAAAUUAUUGAACAAAUUGAAUAAAUUAUUGAACAAAAUUAUAUAAGUAAUGUUUUCUCUGAUUUCAUUUUCAUUCAGAAAUACUGUCCUUGUUUUUCUCUGUUCUACUUCCAUGAGUAAGAGGCUCUCAUUUAAAAACACCUUACUAAAAUCUCAUGAAGCUCCUUUCUUAACUAAUUAAGGUAUGGAAAAACACGGGCAAACCUUUAAAGGACACAGGUUCUUCUUCUUCUUCUUUUUUCCGGACUUGGCUUUUUAGUGGUAUUGAUUUCUCCAGGAAAUGGCAAUGGGAGUCUAGCUCAGGGAGCC
ensembl:lncRNA